GCUUCCACCGGGUUGUGGUUUGGAAGAUCUGCUGACUAUGGUGUCUGGUAUGUGGCACAGAAACAGAAAUAUGGAUGUUCUCACUCUAAUAUGGCUAGCAUGUGUGAAGGGUUUUUCCUCCUUCUUUCUUUCUAGAGAGAAGUGAAAUUGAAAGAUUUUACUGUGUACAGGAAGAUGAUUGAAAAUAAGAUUUGUAACAGGAGAGACAGACCAGUAUGAUGGGAAGCAAGACCCCUCUGACAACUCCACUGGCAAAGACUAGAAGACUGGCCUUUCCCCAAGAGCAGAAGCCUGCAUCUCUGUGGGAUCCCACAGAACUGAGAGGCAGCUACAAAAAUGUAGGAAUAGUAAACUGUCCUUUAUGUUUGGGGCUCAGGGGCCAGCACUGUCCUGGCAGGCUACUCAGGAUCCUGGCCAGAUCCCUAACUGCCUUAUUACUCAACACCCCAGCACGAGGCCUAGGCCUUUCAGGUCUCCCUCUCAUGUCAAUUUUUAACAAGCAACGCCUCUGCUUCUUUGCCAGCGCUGCUGAGGGCUGUGGUCUUGAUUCGCCUUGUAUAAUAUCAGAACUUCUUUUAAAAAGCUGCUUGUGGCAAUGCUCAAACACCCUGGAAAAGAGCAAGCAUAGAAGACAGGAAAGAAUCUUCAUGUGCUAUCGCCCAGCUUGGCAUGGUCCAAGUGAAGGGUACCUGUGUGAAAGUCAGAGGAUAACUGUCAGGAGUCAGUUUUCUUCUUCUACGUUUUGUAAUCAUGUAUUUAUUUGGGGCAGGGGUGGUACGGCACCAGUGCCACGGCCAGGCUGAGGAAGUCAGAGGACAACCUGCAGGAGUGCCCUCUCUCCUUCCGCCAUGUGGGUACCAGGAACUGAACUCAGGUCUCCAGGCUUGGUGGUACAUCAGGAGCCACGUUCCCAGUAUCUGCCAUGAGUAGGAAUGUGUGUACUCUGGGCCGUGGGCUAACGGAUAUACAAAAGGUUUAAGGAAAGUGCUCAGCAUAAACACGGUGCCAGGGGCACGGGCAGUGUGUGCCAAAGGUGUGCUUGACCCAGUCUGUGUUCUUGAGACCAGCCACAGUGAUAACAACACAAAAUAAGCAAGAAGCAACUGUCAACCUCAUCGGCUGUUUAGCAGACAAAGGCAGCUAUGACUCCAGAGGAUGUUUUUCUUUCAUCAUCAACAGCAAUAAAUCACUAUUUAACCUAA